rnacentral:lncRNA from 1 species
CAACAAGGAACAUUCUUGAAGUAUUAGAUACCAAGAACUGCAUUUGCAUUUAUAGCAUGUGAAUAUCAAGUUUGAUAUGCUUCUCAUGCUAGUUUUGCUACACUCUUCUAGGAACAUGUAAGAAUUGAUCACAUCCCUUUUUACAGAGGACUGGAACAAGGCAGUGGUAACUGCUACAGAAAUCAAACAACUGGUACAGAUUAUUUCAGUCCACUAAGACUGUAAGACAUACUAUCAAUGUAGGUUCCAAUCACAAUUCACAAUUCAAUCAAACAUUCCGGCCAAACAAAUCACAUAAGAAGUAGAUCCUUCGAGUUAAAUUGCUAAAGUUUGCAAUUUUUUUCUCCGAAAAUCGACUGCAUUUUCUUUUAAGAAAGAGAGAGACAGAGUAGGGGGGAAAAAAACCUUCAUUGACUUGUUCAGAGGUUGAGAACCAGAUGCAGAAAAGAGGAUGCUGAUGUAGGGACCUGAAUCUAGACAAGUCACCGGACGAGAUAAAAAAAAGUGCAGACGUUUUGUGAUGCCCGGGACCAUCCGAUAUUCCGAUGAACAUUUUUAAGGUUUGCCACUUCUUUCAUCAGUUAUACAAAGGAUAACUUCUGAUGUCAUCUCAUAAUCUGAACUCUGAACUCUGAAGGUAGCAUUUGCGAGAAACCAGUAUUUCAGCGGGUUCAGAGAAUUCAACCCCGACCCCUCUGAUAUUUUUCAGGGACGUCGGAGUAUUAAACCCCGACCCCCACUGCUCGGAAAAUUCGACUCCGACCCCCUGUUAUUUUUCAAAGGGGUUCGGAGAAUUAAACUCCGACCCCUCUUGGCCGAGCUCAAACUCCUCCGGCGUGGCGGGGCUGAGAUUCUCCUACCACCAUUACACAAGGCAAGUGACCCUCUCCAAUCUCCUCUCCUCAUGGAGUGGCUGCACCUGCACUGCAGCAGCCAGCAGGGUUUAUGCCUUUCUCUGCUUCUUUCAGAGUCCCAGAGAAAUGCAACAUGAACAAUCCAAACUUGUGCAGCAAAAUGAACAAAAACUAGUUGCAACUGAUCUGAACUGACAAAGGACAAGUUUUUGCCAAAACUAGCAAACUAUAGGAACACCAGCAUGCACUCGCCAUUGCAUUUUCUACAAAGAAUAAACCGCGGCAAAACCACACCCGAGCUCAGAAAUGGAAGGGAAAGGAACAGCAUUGGUACAAGUUACCUCCUGCUGAUGGGGUUGCAGACGCGCGGCGAGGCGGCGAGCUUGGCGGCGGAGAAGGGGAACGACGCAGGGCUGUCGCUGGCCAGCCCCAUUGCUCAGCCUCAGAUACCAAACCCUCCUGUUUCUUCUUUCCCUUCCCUUUGUGUAGAAAAGAAAAGCUCUGGGCAAUGGCGGAGCGGCGAUGAGUGAGGACGAAACAAAAGAAUAACGGCUGGUGGAGUCAUCGACGUGUGUGGCCUGUCAUCAUUAAGAUACUAGUAAUAUUUUAAACAAAUAAUUAAGAUACUAAUAAUUCAAUUCGAUGACAGACAUUCUUCCAAAAAUCCAUUCUUUAAUUCUUUCGUCUACUUUUUCUUCUUGCACAUUGCACUUGCACUCACCUACAAUUUGCCAAUAGGUCCCCCUGUCUGGCUGUCUCUGCUUUCCCUUUCUUCUAGUACAGGCCACUCAGCUGCAUGCCUGCAUGUCUGCAGAUAGGAAGAAUUGCAUCUUUCAAGGUGUAAAUUAGGGCAGUCCCAACCCAUAACAUUAGAUAUGGUUUUCAUAAACUCCACAUCAUUAAGAAACUAGUACUAGACACUACUCUUCCAAUACAAACACUACUAUUCCAUACUUCAAUUUAAUGCUACUUAUCACACAUGAUGUCUUGGAUAUUGUGUAGAAACCCUGUCUCAUGUGAGACAUGGUUUUCUUCUCUUUCCUCAUUUAUUCACUUGCCACAUCAUUUUUUGUCUUAGGUGGCAACUUAUUUAAUGCUAUGGACACCUAGUCAUUAGGUUAGCAAAGAGGGUCUGUGUGUUGGAUUAGCUGAGAAAGUGACACUGAUGGAGGAACAGUUGGCUGACUAGGGGACAAAGGCUGGUCUACUGUCAGCUUGUGGAUGCUUCAAGAAUUCAGGCUUCAUCUUAUGUGGCCAUACUACUAUUGCCAUUGCUUCUUUUUUUUUUGGUAUUUUGGAUGUAUCACAUACUAACAUUUAUUCUUUCUUUUCUCCUUAACAACUAAAUUGUGGUCUAAUUUUUACUGGCUCCCAAGUAUGUUAUGCUCUGUAUCUGUUUUAGGAGGUGAAAUUUCACAAUGUUUCAAGUGCCAUGUAACUGUAGAAAAUCCAUGCUACUGCAAUUUGUAGCAGCAUGCAGUAGAGAAUGGAGAGAGGAGUGGGGUUGAAGGCUGUCGGUGAAGGAAAUGAUUCGGAUGCUUUGGCUGCCAUGGCUCCUUGUCCACUGAUCUACUCGUACUAGAGUAGAGAGAAUGGACAGCUCUAACUUUUCUUCCUUUGGCUUUUGCUUUUGCUUUUGCAGAGAGGAUAUCGAGGAGAAGAGCUACUAGCUUUGAUCGGGCUUUGUUUGGUCAGGUCCACCAUGAGAAAGCCACAAGACAACCCGACUCGAUUACUCAGCAGCCUAUACUGCUUGUUCAUACUCCAUUGCCGGUCAGAAGCACGAACCGUGCCAUUGAUCAUUUCCUCUCACAGAUUCUUUGCAUUCAUGCUUGGCUGCCUACAGAUUUUGCACAUCAAGCAAGCAUCCAGGCUACUGUUGCGCUCGUGCAAAACUUACCCUGUCAUUUGAUCAUCGAGAAUACAUAUGAUCCAAGCAGUGAUUAUGAUUCACUUGAUCAAUCAGUCUCUCUGUCCGUGUGUGUUAUUUCCCUCCCUCCAAACUUUCUUUGUGAAAAUUUUCUUUUCAGAGAUGAGAUAGAUCAGAUGGGGAAAGGACAGCAAAGUAAAAUGCAAAUGUGCUAAAGCUUUGAGCUGUUUUUGCUGCUGAUUGAUCGAUGCUUUCAAAUGCCUUUCUGAAAAAGCAAUUUACAUUUGCUACAUAACACUAAUAGCGCUCUGUGAGGGUCAUGGCUCUUUUAAUUGUCUUCUCUAUAUAUGGCGCCAUGUAUAUAUCACAAACUGCACAUACUACUAUAACAUGCCUGCGAGUGGUUGACUGUCUGAGUCUCUCAGAGCUUGAACCUAACCAGUUCGAUCUCCUUGGCAUGCAGGCACAGGUUGGUCAAGGCAGUGGGGAGUAAAAUGUUAGUGGGCUGGACACGUUGAGACAUGUUGGCACAAAAUUCGAUGAAAGUAAGACCAUACUUCCUCUGUCCCGGAAAAAACAAAUCUAGUACUGGAUGGAACAUAUUAUAGUACAACGAAUCUGAAUAGAGAUAUGUCCAGAUUUGUAGCAGUAGGAUAUAUCACAUUCAGUACUAGGUUGGUUUUUAUAGGACAGAGGGAGUAUUCAGACAUUCAGUAUAUGAUAAGAAAAUGUCUAAAUUACUUUCUGAACUAUUACGGCAAUACAAAUUACUCCCCUGAACUACAAAAUUAAAUAUUUUUCACCCUCAACUUUUCAUACCAGGUAUUCUUGACCUCUGACAAAAUACAAAAAAAAAUAUAUCGAUGUAUUUCUAGCCUGUUCCUUUCCCUUCAAAAUUGGCGUUACUCUACUAUGCAAGAAAAGGAGGUCAAAGCGUGGAAACUUCCUGUGUAUCGUCUUUACAUGCACGAUAUAAAGUUAAGUAGUAUACUCCUCCGUCCAAAAAAACUCAAUUCCUGAGUUUCCGUGUUCAACGUUUGACCGUCCGUCUUAUAUAAUUUUUUUUAUGAUUAGUAUUUUUAUUGUUGUUAGAUGAUAAAACAUGAAUAAUAUUUUGUGCGUAACUUAUCUUUUUUAAAUUUUUUUCAUAAUUUUUUUCAAAUAAGACGGAUAGUCAAACGUUGGACACGAAAACCUAGAAAUUAAGUUAUUUUGGGAAGGAGGGAGUAGAUUUGAGCUGCAUGCUUUAACGACCUCGAAAUUGGAUCAAAGGCUUGUUUUCACCGUCUACUCUUGCGUAGUACUCCCUCCGUUUCACAAUGUAAAUCAUUCUAACAUUUCCCACAUUCAUAUUGAUGUUG